UGGCCGCAUUGGCCGUUUGGUGCUCCGUG
rnacentral:sRNA from 1 species